GCUAUCUGCAGUCGAGGGGCAGCGCGGUAGCAAUACUGGCGGCGACCGGCAAACGGGUGCGGAACACGUACGCAACCUUCCUCUAAGCGGGAGAUAGCCCGGAGAAAUCCGGAUUAAUACCCCAUAGGAUUGUGGAUUGGCAUCAAUCAGCAAUUAAAGAUUUAUCACUUAGAGAUGGGCGUGCGUCUGAUUAGGUAGUUGGUGAGGUAACGGCUCACCAAGCCGACGAUCAGUAACUGGCGUGAGAGCGCGACCAGUCACACGGGCACUGAGACACGGGCCCGACUCCUACGGGAGGCAGCAGUAAGGAAUAUUGGUCAAUGGACGCAAGUCUGAACCAGCCAUGCCGCGUGAAGGAUGAAGGUCCUCUGGAUUGUAAACUUCUUUUAUCUGGGAAGAAAUGCUUUUUUUCUAAAGAGCUUGACGGUACCAGAUGAAUAAGCACCGGCUAACUCCGUGCCAGCAGCCGCGGUAAUACGGAGGGUGCAAGCGUUAUCCGGAUUCACUGGGUUUAAAGGGUGCGUAGGCGGAUUAGAAAGUCCGUUGUGAAAUCUCUGAGCUUAACUCGGAAAUUGCGGUGGAUACUAUUAGUCUUGAAUACUGUGGAGGUUAGCGGAAUAUGUCAUGUAGCGGUGAAAUGCAUAGAUAUGACAUAGAACACCAAUUGCGAAGGCAGCUGGCUACACAGAUAUUGACGCUGAGGCACGAAAGCGUGGGGAUCAAACAGGAUUAGAUACCCUGGUAGUCCACGCCCUAAACGAUGAUUACUCGACAUUUGCGAUACACAGCAAGUGUCUGAGCGAAAGCAUUAAGUAAUCCACCUGGGAAGUACGACCGCAAGGUUGAAACU
rnacentral:rRNA from 1 species